rnacentral:rRNA from 1 species
UACAGAGGGUGCGAGCGUUAAUCGGAAUUACUGGGCGUAAAGCGUGCGUAGACGGUUAUUUAAGUCGGGUGUGAAAGCCCCGGGCUCAACCUGGGAAUUGCAUUCGAGACUGAAUAGCUAGGGUACGGUAGAGGGAAGUGGAAUUUCCGGUGUAGCGGUGAAAUGCGUAGAUAUCGGAAGGAACAUCAGUGGCGAAAGCGACUUCCUGGUCCAGACCGACGUUCAGGCACGAAAGCGUGGGGAGCAAACAGGA